ensembl:lincRNA
GAGGAAUAGCUGAGAGGAGAGAAGGCAGAAAUAGAGACCCAGAAAUCCAGGUGCACUCUCCCUACUUCCUGUCUGCCCUCAGGUGAUCAGCCUCUGCCUCCCAAAUAUUUUAUUUCUGCCCAGAAUGGAUUAAUAAGACUACUACUUAAUUUGCACAGCCCAGAACAAAAUGAUGUGGACUCCUUGUUCAAAGAGGAAGAAUUUGUAUGACAGACAGCAUCCAUCUCGUGGGAGUCACUGAGCUCCGUGUUAAUGUGCAAGCUGUCUGUCGGUGAUGCCCAUAUGACUCCUAAUUUACCACUUCUGUGAGUCUCAGGUGUCCUCGAUGCCAUCUUCAGGGACUUGGGGAGGUAGCUUUACAUCUCCAAACUUCAGGAUCCACUUGUGCAGAUUGCCAAGAGGUGAUCAACCUUGUUCUGCAGGCCCUUUGUUGCCAUGGCGUGCUUCUUCACCUCAGACCCAAAGCAAUAGGGCCAGUUGAUCUUGAAGUGACAGGUCCAAAACUGGGAGACUAGUCUUUCCUCAGAGAAGCUGAUAUUCCCAGGCAUUUUGAUCUAACAAUGAGCAAGUGAUGACUUCAUCAUCUGCCUGAAGAUUGGCUCCACUGACAUCCAUGCAAGUGCCUUCAGCCUUCUCACAGAGCGGUGU